GACGUAGGGCGCAAGCGUUGUCCGGAUUUAUUGGGCGUAAAGAGCUCGUAGGCGGCUUGUUGCGUCGUCCGUGAAAUCCCAUGGCUCAACUGUGGGCUUGCGGUCGAUACGGGCAUCACUGGAGUUCGGCAGGGGAGACUGGAAUUCCUGGUGUAGCGGUGAAAUGCGCAGAUAUCAGGAGGAACACCGGUGGCGAAGGCGGGUCUCUGGGCCGAUACUGACGCUGAGGAGCGAAAGCGUGGGGAGCGAACAGG
rnacentral:rRNA from 1 species